AUCCACCUGACGGGUUCAAAAUGGGACGAAACGUACGUCUGGAU
rnacentral:hammerhead_ribozyme from 1 species